UUAAGUGUGACAUAAUUAAAUGUCGCCUGCAGAACCUGCUGAGGGCCCCAGUAGCUCCCAGACUGAGAUCAAGACAUGGACAACAACAGAGAUUUCUUUGGCUUGUGUUUGCUGAACCCAGUCUUAAUUCAAAGCGAGUCAGCUUCACUUCCCUUGUGUCUAGUUUUUCAGAACUCCUAUAUUACAAAUAUAAUUAGAUUUCCCUAUUUUGCAGAGUUGUUGGAAGAAAUGUACUAUUAGCUUGACAAUGUCACUUAACUGUGUUAGAAUGCUAAUGGUUGCUUCUUUUUGCCACAAUAACUUGACAAAUAUUUCUCUAUCAGUGUGUUUUUGCCUGUUUCACCAAAUAAUUUUGCUUGGUUCCUGUAAGGCAUUAUUAGUGUUGCUAUAAAACUAUAGGAAAUUUUCUAUCAGUUUUUCUUUAGCUCCAUAUGUUCAUUUUUGUCUUGAUUGUCAUGAUUUGGGUUUCAACUUGGAACCUAUUAUCUUAAAAAAAUUGCUAUAAAGAAAGUUUGGCUAAUUUGCCUAGUAAAAUAUACUCUACAAUGGAAAAUAUGAUUAAUGGAUUAAAUAAUAACUUUGACUAUAAAAUGUUAUUAAAAAAGACCUGAGAAAUUCACACAAUUUGCUUAGGCUUUUAAAUAAACCCUUAAUUCAAGGUGCUAGAGUACCUAAGCAAAGUCACCCUUGAUGUGUUUUACUUGCAGUUUUCUUAUCCUUUACUGUAUAGACACCUACACUAAACUCUACUGUGGAACAAAUACUAGCUGAUAAAUCUGGGGACACAGUAGAUGUGCAGAACUUUCAAAAUUAUCCAGGUGCUAACAUAAACCAAGCUACACAGAUCUGAAUUAAACAAUACCUUUGCUUCAAUCAAUCUCCUCACUGGAACAUGUCCCAAAACAUACCUUAGCUCCGUUUUCUUUUCCUCUUAUAUUCUACUCUACAGUCUCAUGAUUUCCCACUAUCAGUUCCAAAAUAUUUCUAUUUUGUCUUUCUCUCUUUGCCUCAAAUUCCACAGACCUAAAAUAAAACCCAUCUCAAAAUCUUAAUAAUUGGAUGCGAUCCCAGGGGACAUCUAAUCUUGACUUUAAUGGCUACAUGAAUAACUUCUAUGAAGCUUCCAAAAGAGAUUCUCCUUUCAUGCCUCCAGCUCCAGGAAACUCCUU